rnacentral:tRNA from 1 species
GCGCCUGUAGCUCAGUGGAUAGAGCGCCUGUCUCCGGAACAGGAGGUCGCAAGUUCAAUCCUUGCCAGGCGUACCA